UACGUAGGGUGCGAGCGUUAAUCGGAAUUACUGGGCGUAAAGCGUGCGCAGGCGGUUUUGUAAGCCAGAUGUGAAAUCCCCGGGCUUAACCUGGGAAUGGCAUUUGGGACUGCAAGGCUUGAGUGCGGCAGAGGAGACUAGAAUUCCUGGUGUAGCAGUGAAAUGCGUAGAUAUCAGGAGGAACACCAAUGGCGAAGGCAGCUCGCUGGGACGUGACUGACGCUGAGGCGCGAAAGCGUGGGGAGCAAACAGG
rnacentral:rRNA from 1 species